AGCGAACGCUGGCGGCAGGCCUAACACAUGCAAGUCGAACGAACCUUUCGGGGUUAGUGGCGGACGGGUGAGUAACACGUGGGAACGUGCCUUUAGGUUCGGAAUAACUCAGGGAAACUUGUGCUAAUACCGAAUGUGCCCUUCGGGGGAAAGAUUUAUCGCCUUUAGAGCGGCCCGCGUCUGAUUAGCUAGUUGGUUGAGGUAAUGGCUCACCAAGGCGACGAUCAGUAGCUGGUCUGAGAGGAUGAUCAGCCACAUUGGGACUGAGACACGGCCCAAACUCCUGCGGGAGGCAGCAGUGGGGAAUCUUUCGAAAUGGGCGAAAGCCUGACAAAUCCAUGCCGCGGGAAUGAUGAAGGUCUUAGGAUUGUAAAAUUCUUUCGCCGGGGACGAUAAUGACGGUACCCUGAGAAGAAGCCCCGGCUAACUACGUG
rnacentral:rRNA from 1 species